GGAGUGGAGCCUGCGGCUUAAUUUGACUCAACACGGGGAACCUCACCCGGCCCGGACACCGCGAGGAUUGACAGAUUGAGAGCUCUUUCUCGAUUCGGUGGGUGGUGGUGCAUGGCCGUUCUUAGUUGGUGGAGCGAUUUGUCUGGUUAAUUCCGAUAACGAACGAGACUCUAGCCGGUUAAGUAGCCCGAGCGGUUUUUGAUCUUUGCCGUCCAUCCUCGUGCCGACCUUCCGCGCUUCUUUUCUUUUCUUUUCUCCUUAGCGCCGUCCUUUUUUUCCGCGCGCGGCCGUCGUCCCGUACGCGCUUCUCCGCUUCAGGGCGGGGUCGCGCCUCGGGCGCCGACGGUUCGCGCCGGAGGAGGGGGCGGUGCGGGGUGGAUAGGAGAGGAGUACGUGGGUCGAUUUCGGGGUGGAAGCAUAACCGAAGGCCGCCGGCUUUUAAGGAAGCUUCUUAGAGGGACGAGCGGCGUUCAGCCGCCCGAGAUUGAGCGAUAACAGGUCUGUGAUGCCCUUAGAUGUCCGGGGCCGCACGCGCGCUACACUGAAGGGUUCAGCGUGCUAAUUUCUCCCGGGCCGUCAGGCUCGGGGAACCCGUUGAAACCCUUUCGUGCUAGGGACAGGGACUUGCAAUUGUGUCCCUCCAACGAGGAAUUCCCAGUAAGCGCGAGUCAUCAGCUCGCGUUGAUUACGUCCCUGCCCUUUGUACACACCGCCCGUCGCUACUACCGAUUGAACGAUUUAGUGAGGUCUUCGGACCGGUGGUCGUUCCGCGAUCGGGUCAGGAAAGGGUCUCGCGCCUUUUCCUCCCGCGCGGGGUCGGCCGGCCGGGAAGAUGCCC
rnacentral:rRNA from 1 species